GCUAACCAGCUAGCUAAAUAUUAUACUAAAUUAUCAACAUAAAUAACAUCACAAAACCUAAAUUUAUUAACCAAACCAUUUUUCCACCUAAGUACGGGAGACGAAAAAGGUUCCAUAAGCAAUAGAAAAAGUACCGCAAGGGAAAGCUGAAAGAGCAAUGAAAUAAGUCAUGUAAGCGUAAAAAAGCAGAGAUUAAUACUCGUACCUUUUGCAUCAUGCUUUAGCAAGAACCCAACAAGCAAAGAGACCUUUAGUUUGUAACCCCGAAACCAAGUGAGCUACCCCGGGACAGCCUUAAUAGGGCCAACCCGUCUCUGUGGCAAAAGAGUGGGAAGAGCCCCGGGUAGAGGUGACAGACCUACCGAACUUGGUGAUAGCUGGUUGCCUAAGAAAUGGAUAGAAGUUCAGCCUUGUGCCCCCUUUUAUCAAGUAAGUAAAAUCUACUAUAGAAACUAAGAGAAUCACAAGAGUUAGUUAAAGGGGGUACAGCCCCUUUAACCAAGGAUACAACUUUAUCAGGAGGAUAGGGAUUAUAAUUUUUAAAAUUAUUGUUUCAGUGGGCCUAAAAGCAGCCACCUGUGCAGAAAGCGUUAAAGCUCAGACGAUAAGAAAUUUAUUAUUUCAAUAAAACAUCCCACUCCCCUAAAUAUAUUAGGCCGCUCCAUGACUUCAUGGAAGAGAUUAUGCUAAAAUGAGUAACAAGAGAUAAACAACUCUCUCCUAGCACAAGUGUAAGCCAGCCCGGAUAAACCACUGGCAAUUAACGAGCCCAAUAUAAGAGGGAAAUGUAAUUAAAACAAAAUGCAAGAAAAUUCUACAAUUUGUAGUCGUUAAACCCACACUGGAGUGCCACAGGGAAAGACUAAAAGAAAGGGAAGGAACUCGGCAAACCCAAGCCUCGCCUGUUUACCAAAAACAUCGCCUCCUGCAAAAUUCAAGGUAUAGGAGGUCCAGCCUGCCCAGUGACCACAAGUUCAACGGCCDGCGGUAUUUUGACCGUGCAAAGGUAGCGCAAUCACUUGUCUUUUAAAUGAAGACCUGUAUGAAUGGCUAAACGAGGGCUUAGCUGUCUCCCCUUUCAAGUCAGUGAAAUUGAUCUGCCCGUGCAGAAGCGGACAUACACCUACAAGACGAGAAGACCCUUUGGAGCUUAAGGUUCAAGCCCAACCGCGUUAAGCAACUUACAAAAUAAGCAUUAAACCUAGCGGAUAGUGGCGCUUUACCUUCGGUUGGGGCGACCACGGAGAAAAAGAUAUCCUCCGAGUGGACUGGGCCAACUAAGCCUAAAACCAAGAAAGACAUUUCUAAGUAACAGAAAAUCUGACCAAUAAUGAUCCGGCCCAAGGGCCGAUCAACGGACCAAGUUACCCUAGGGAUAACAGCGCAAUCCUCUCCCAGAGUCCAUAUCGACGAGGGGGUUUACGACCUCGAUGUUGGAUCAGGACAUCCUAAUGGUGCAGCCGCUAUUAAGGGUUCGUUUGUUCAACGAUUAAAGUCCUACGUGAUCUGAGUUCAGACCGGAGUAAUCCAGGUCAGUUUCUAUCUGUAACGUCACUUUUCCUAGUACGAAAGGACCGGAAAAAGGAGGCCCAUACCAAAGGUACGCCUCACCCCUAAUUAAUGAAGACAACUUAAUUAAAUAAAUGGAGGACCCAUAAUAUGAGCAAAGAUAAUGCCAC
rnacentral:rRNA from 1 species